UACGUAGGGGGCUAGCGUUGUCCGGAAUUACUGGGCGUAAAGCGCGCGUAGGCGGUUUGGAAAGUCAGAUGUGAAAGCCCCGGGCUCAACUUGGGAACUGCAUUUGAUACUGCCAGACUAGAGUACAGAAGAGGUGACUGGAAUUCCCAGUGUAGCGGUGAAAUGCGUAGAUAUUGGGAGGAACACCAGAUGCGAAGGCGGGUCACUGGGCUGAUACUGACGCUGAGGCACGAAAGCGUGGGGAGCAAACAGG
rnacentral:rRNA from 1 species